rnacentral:rRNA from 1 species
GUCUCAGGCCGUAUCAGCCUGAAGGCGCCCGAUCUCGUCUGAUCUCAGAAGCUAAGCAGGGUCGGGCCUGGUUAGGAUCUUGGAUGGGAGACCACCUGGGAAUCCCGGGUGCUCGAGGCU